rnacentral:rRNA from 1 species
ACUACGGGAGGCAGCAGUGGGGAAUAUUGGGCAAUGGGCGCAAGCCUGACCCAGCAACGCCGCGUGAAGGAAGAAGGCUUUCGGGUUGUAAACUUCUUUUCUCAGGGACGAAGCAAGUGACGGUACCUGAGGAAUAAGCCACGGCUAACUACGUGCCAGCAGCCGCGGUAAUACGUAGGUGGCAAGCGUUAUCCGGAUUUACUGGGUGUAAAGGGCGUGUAGGCGGGAAAGCAAGUCAGAUGUGAAAACCAUGGGCUCAACCUGUGGCCUGCAUUUGAAACUGUUUUUCUUGAGUACUGGAGAGGCAGACGGAAGUCCUAGUGUAGCGGUGAAAUGCGUAGAUAUUAGGAGGAACACCAGUGGCGAAGGCGGUCUGCUGGACAGCAACUGACGCUGAGGCGCGAAAGCGUGGGGAGCAAACAGGAUUAGAUACCCCUGUAGUC